GACGAACGCUGGCGGCGUGCCUAAUACAUGCCAGUAGAACGCUGAAGAGAGGAGCUUGCUCUUCUUGGAUGAGUUGCGAACGGGUGAGUAACGCGUAGGUAACCUGCCUGGUAGCGGGGGAUAACUAUUGGAAACGAUAGCUAAUACCGCAUAAAAUGGAUUAUCGCAUGAUAAUCCAUUGAAAGGUGCAAAUGCAUCACUACCAGAUGGACCUGCGUUGUAUUAGCUAGUUGGUGGGGUAACGGCUCACCAAGGCGACGAUACAUAGCCGACCUGAGAGGGUGAUCGGCCACACUGGGACUGAGACACGGCCCAGACUCCUACGGGAGGCAGCAGUAGGGAAUCUUCGGCAAUGGACGGAAGUCUGACCGAGCAACGCCGCGUGAGUGAAGAAGGUUUUCGGAUCGUAAAGCUCGGUUGUAAGAGAAGAACGAGUGUGAGAGUGGAAAGUUCACACUGUGACGGUAUCUUACCAGAAAGGGACGGCUAACUACGUG
rnacentral:rRNA from 1 species